rnacentral:rRNA from 1 species
GUGGGGAAUAUUGGGCAAUGGGCGAAAGCCUGACCCAGCAACGCCGCGUGAGGGAAGAAGGCCUUAGGGUCGUAAACCUCUGUUGUGUGGGAAGAAGAGCGUGACGGUACCACACGAGGAAGUCCCGGCUAACUACGUGCCAGCAGCCGCGGUAAUACGUAGGGGACGAGCGUUGUCCGGAUUUACUGGGCGUAAAGGGCGCGUAGGCGGUCAUUUAAGUCAGCUGUGAAAUGGUUUGGCUUAACCGGAUCAUGCGGUUGAAACUGGAUGACUGGAGUGCUGGAGAGGCAAGUGGAAUUCCCAGUGUAGCGGUGAAAUGCGUAGAUAUUGGGAAGAACACCGGUGGCGAAGGCGACUUGCUGGCCAGCAACUGACGCUGAGGCGCGAAAGCCAGGGGAGCAAACGGGAUUAGAAACCCGGGUAGUCC